AUUGAACGCUGGCGGCAGGCCUAACACAUGCAAGUCGAACGAGUGGCGGACGGGUGAGUAAUGUCUGGGAAAAUGCCCGAUGGAGGGGGAUAACUACUGGAAACGGUAUCUAAUACCGCAUACCCUCGGAUGCGCACAGAUGGGAUUAGCUAGUAGGUGGGGUAACGGCUCACCUAGGCGACGAGCCCUAGCUGGUGUGAGAGGAUGACCAUCCACACUGGAACUGAGACACGGGCCAGACUCCUACGGGAGGCAGCAGUGGGGAAUAUUGCACAAUGGGCGAAAGCCUGAUGCAGCCAUGCCGCGUGUAUGAAGAAGGCCGUCGGGUUGUAAAGUACUUUCAGCGGGGAGGCGUUACUCGCAGAAGAAGCACCGGCUAACUCCGUGCCAGCAGCCGCGGUAAUUC
rnacentral:rRNA from 1 species